rnacentral:rRNA from 1 species
GGGGCCCUAAACACAUGCAAGUCGAGCGGUAGCACAGAGAGCUUGCUCUCGGGUGACGAGCGGCGGACGGGUGAGUAAUGUCUGGGAAACUGCCUGAUGGAGGGGGAUAACUACUGGAAACGGUAGCUAAUACCGCAUAACGUCGCAAGACCAAAGUGGGGGACCUUCGGGCCUCAUGCCAUCAGAUGUGCCCAGAUGGGAUUAGCUAGUAGGUGGGGUAAUGGCUCACCUAGGCGACGAUCCCUAGCUGGUCUGAGAGGAUGACCAGCCACACUGGAACUGAGACACGGUCCAGACUCCUACGGGAGGCAGCAGUGGGGAAUAUUGCACAAUGGGCGCAAGCCUGAUGCAGCCAUGCCGCGUGUAUGAAGAAGGCCUUCGGGUUGUAAAGUACUUUCAGCGAGGAGGAAGGCAUUAAGGUUAAUAACCUUGGCGAUUGACGUUACUCGCAGAAGAAGCACCGGCUAACUCCGUGCCAGCAGCCGCGGUAAUACGGAGGGUGCAAGCGUUAAUCGGAAUUACUGGGCGUAAAGCGCACGCAGGCGGUCUGUCAAGUCGGAUGUGAAAUCCCCGGGCUCAACCUGGGAACUGCAUUCGAAACUGGCAGGCUAGAGUCUUGUAGAGGGGGGUAGAAUUCCAGGUGUAGCGGUGAAAUGCGUAGAGAUCUGGAGGAAUACCGGUGGCGAAGGCGGCCCCCUGGACAAAGACUGACGCUCAGGUGCGAAAGCGUGGGGAGCAAACAGGAUUAGAUACCCUGGUAGUCCACGCCGUAAACGAUGUCGACUUGGAGGUUGUGCCCUUGAGGCGUGGCUUCCGGAGCUAACGCGUUAAGUCGACCGCCUGGGGAGUACGGCCGCAAGGUUAAAACUCAAAUGAAUUGACGGGGGCCCGCACAAGCGGUGGAGCAUGUGGUUUAAUUCGAUGCAACGCGAAGAACCUUACCUACUCUUGACAUCCAGAGAACUUAGCAGAGAUGCUUUGGUGCCUUCGGGAACUCUGAAAACAGGUGCUGCAUGGCUGUCGUCAGCUCGUGUUGUGAAAUGUUGGGUUAAGUCCCGCAACGAGCCGCAACCCUUAUUCCUUUGUUGCCAGCGGG